AGAGUUUGAUCAUGGCUCAGGACGAACGCUGGCGGCAUGCCUAAUACAUGCAAGUCGAACGAUGAAUCUCUCUGCUUGCAGAGAGAGGAAGAGUGGCGAACGGGUGAGUAACACGUGAGGAACUUACCCAUAAGAGGGGGAUAACAUCCGGAAACGGGUGCUAAUACCGCAUACGUAACCAUUUCGCAUGAAACGGUUAUUAAAGGUGGCUCUGCUACCACUUAUGGAUAGCCUCGCGGUGCAUUAGCUAGUUGGUGGGGUAACGGCCUACCAAGGCGAUGAUGCAUAGCCGACUUGAGAGGGUGAUCGGCCACACUGGGACUGAGACACGGCCCAGACUCCCACGGGAGGCAGCAGUAGGGAAUCUUCCACAAUGGGUGCAAACCUGAUGGAGCAAUGCCGCGUGAGUGAAGAAGGACUUCGGUUCGUAAAGCUCUGUUGUUAGAGAAGAACAAGGAUAGGAGUAACUGUCUAUCCCUUGACGGUACCUAACCAGAAAGUCACGGCUAACUACGUGCCAGCAGCCGCGGUAAUACGUAGGUGACAAGCGUUGUCCGGAUUUAUUGGGCGUAAAGCGAGCGCAGGCGGUUCUUUAAGUCUGAUGUGAAAGCCCACGGCUCAACCGUGGAAUCGCAUUGGAAACUGGAGAACUUGAAUAUAGAAGAGGAAAGUGGAAUUCCAAGUGUAGCGGUGGAAUGCGUAGAUAUUUGGAGGAACACCAGUGGCGAAGGCGACUUUCUGGUCUAUUAUUGACGCUGAGGCUCGAAAGCGUGGGUAGCAAACAGGCUUAGAUACCCUGGUAGUCC
rnacentral:rRNA from 1 species